GUCUUUGGCCAUACCACCCGGAACACAGCUGAUCUCAGAAGCUAAACAGUGUCAGACCUGGUUACUACUUGAAUGGGAGGACGGUAAAUAUA
rnacentral:rRNA from 10 species